rnacentral:rRNA from 1 species
CCCUUAGAUGUUCUGGGCCGCACGCGCGCUACACUGUUCGACGCAGCGAGUCUUAACCUUGACCGAAAGGUUUGGGUAAUCUUCAGCAAAGUCGAACGUGAUGGGGAUCGAUCAUUGCAAUUAUUGAUCGUGAACGAGGAAUUCCUAGUAAGUGCAAGUCAUCAGCUUGCGCUGAUUACGUCCCUGCCCUUUGUGCACACCGCCCGUCGCUACUACCGAUUGAAUGGUUUAGUGAGAUCUCUGGAUUGACGCUGGCUAGGGGGCGACCCUUGGCCAGGCUGUCGAGAAACUGCUCAAACUUGAUCAUUUAGAGGAAGUAAAAGUCGUAACA